CUCCCUCGCGAUUCAACCUCAGUCUUCAUCUUUGGCGGAUUGGUCACCCCUUCAAUGCCGUCAUUACCUCGUUCGUGUCUUCAGAGCUUCAUCCCCCAGCUUCCCUGCAAUCCUUCAGUGCUUGUGACUCCAUAUGCAACUUUAUAUAUGUAUAUCUCUUGCAGUUAACUUUUAUUUAUUUUGGGAAUGUUUGCUGAUGCGUAUUGGAAGUAGAAAUAUAUUAUGAACACCAUUCAAGUUGACACAGUUCUUUUGAGUUUGUCAAAUUUUCUCCUUUUAAAAAUUGGUAUAUUUGCAUGGUGUGGUCUUCAUAAGGUAUUAAGAGUUGGGCUAGCCAUUGAAAUGAUUUACUGCC